rnacentral:snoRNA from 1 species
CUGCAGGGAUGACGACUUAGGACACCUUUGGAUCCCCAUGAAAACAAACCAAUGACUGAGCAGC